rnacentral:rRNA from 1 species
CCUGGGAACUACGAGCCAAGCUUAAAACCCAAAGGACUUGACGGUACCCCAUAUCCCCCUAGAGGAGCCUGUCCUAUAAUCGAUAACCCCCGUUCAACCUCACCAUUUCUAGCAACUCAGUCUGUAUACCUCCGUCGUCAGCUUACCACGUGAGCGCUAGUAAGCUCAAUGUUUUUUCAACUAAACGUCAGGUCAAGGUGCAACACAUGAGAUGGGAAGAGAUGGGCUACACUUUCUAGCAUAGACCACACGAAAGACUAACUAUGAAAUCUAGUCAGAAGG